rnacentral:sRNA from 2 species
CGCCUAAUCCUGCCGCCGCCCGUAACACCCACCGAGAAACGCAUGGCAGGAGCGGGGGAACCAGGUAGGUCGCCGCAGCACAUUGCCCUGACGUUCUGGACAUUCAGAUCUUUUGGGGCAAUCCGUUACGGCUUGGGGUGAAGUCGCGGCCGUCAGGACGCGACCGGGCAGCUCCCGCCCGAACCCGACAGCUCACCUCGCAGGCGACGGAGAGGAAAACU